rnacentral:rRNA from 1 species
GGGGAAUUGUUCGCAAUGGGCGCAAGCCUGACGACGCAACGCCGCAUGGAGGAUGAAGAUCUUCGGGUCGUAAACUCCUGUCGAGCGGGAAGAACACCUUUCGGGCGAAUAUCCCGGAAGGCUGACGGUACCGCUAAAGGAAGCCCCGGCUAACUCCGUGCCAGCAGCCGCGGUAAUACGGGGGGGGCAAGCGUUGUUCGGAAUUACUGGGCGUAAAGGGCGCGUAGGUGGUGGUUUAAGCGUGCGGUGAAAGCUCGGAGCUCAACUCCGAGUCGGCCGUGCGAACUGGGCUCACUGGAGCAUAGUAGAGGCAGGUGGAAUUCCGGGUGUAGCGGUGGAAUGCGUAGAGAUCCGGAAGAACACCGGUGGCGAAGGCGGCCUGCUGGGCUAUGGCUGACACUGAGGCGCGACAGCGUGGGGAGCAAAC